rnacentral:rRNA from 1 species
GAUGAACGCUGGCGGCGUGCCUAAUACAUGCAAGUCGAGCGAACAGACGAGGAGCUUGCUCCUCUGACGUUAGCGGCGGACGGGUGAGUAACACGUGGAUAACCUACCUAUAAGACUGGGAUAACUUCGGGAAACCGGAGCUAAUACCGGAUAACAUGUUGAACCGCAUGGUUCAACAGUGAAAGACGGUUUUGCUGUCACUUAUAGAUGGAUCCGCGUCGCAUUAGCUAGUUGGUAAGGUAACGGCUUACCAAGGCAACGAUGCGUAGCCGACCUGAGAGGGUGAUCGGCCACACUGGAACUGAGACACGGUCCAGACUCCUAAGGGAGGCAGCAGUAGGGAAUCUUCCGCAAAGGGCGAAAGCCUGACGGAGCAACGCCGCGUGAGUGAAGAAGGUCUUCGGAUCGUAAAACUCUGUUAUUAGGGAAGAACAAAUGUGUAAGUAACUAUGCACGUCUUGACGGUACCUAAUCAGAAAGCCACGGCUAACUACGUG